rnacentral:tRNA from 1 species
GCCGGAGUGGCGGAAUUGGCAGACGCGCGGGACUCAAAAUCCCGUGCCCGCAAGGGCGUGAGGGUUCAAGUCCCUCCUCCGGCA